UACGUAGGGGCCUAGCGUUGUCCGGAAUCAUUGGGCGUAAAGAGCUCGUAGGCGGUUCGGCAAGUCACGUGUGAAAUCUCCACGCUUAACGUGGAGGCGCCACGUGAAACUGCCGUGACUCGAGUCCGGUAGGGGGAGUGUGGAAUUCCCGGUGUAGCGGUGAAAUGCGCAGAUAUCGGGAGGAACAUCUGUGGCGAAGGCGGCCAUCUGGACCAGCACUGACACUGAGGCACGAAAGCGUGGGGA
rnacentral:rRNA from 1 species